UACGAAGGGUGCAAACGUUGCUCGGAAUUAUUGGGCGUAAAGAGCGUGUAGGCGGCCAGGUAGGUCUGCUGUGAAAACUCGAGGCUCAACCUCGAGACUGUACGGCGAAACCAUCUGGCUAGAGUCCGGAAGAGGAGAGUGGAAUUCCUGGUGUAGCGGUGAAAUGACGCAGAUAUCAGGAAGAACACCCGUGGCGAAGGCGGCUCUCUGGGACGGUACUGACGCUGAGACGCGAAAGCGUGGGGAGCGAACAGG
rnacentral:rRNA from 1 species